rnacentral:rRNA from 1 species
GUGGAGUUCAUACAAGUGAGAAUGCCGGAAUGAGUAGCGAGAAUUGUGUGAGAAUCACAAUGGCCGAAAGCCUAAGGUUUCUGGAGGAAGGUUCGUCCUCUCCAGGUCAGCCGGGAGCUAAGGUGAGGCCGCAAGGCGUAGCCGAUGCACAUACGGUAGAGAUUCCGUAGCCGCCGAAACAGUUAAGCAUGGGGACACUUUUGAAGUGUUGGAGCCGGGAGUUGGUUUUCCGGUAGUAAUCGAGUGAAAUUUAGUAGCGAAGUCCAGCAUGGAGAGAGGCGAGAAAAGCCAUGUGUAUUUGUCAGGCGCCCGUACCGCAAACCGACACAGGUAGGUAGGAAGAAGAUUCUAAGGCCAACGGGAGAAGGGUUGUUAAGGAACUCGGCAAGUUGACCCCGUAACUUCGGGAGAAGGGGUGCUCAGAGAUGAGCCGCAGAGAAUAGGCCCAAGCAACUGUUUAGCAAAAACACAGGUCUGUGCUAAAUCGAAAGAUGACGUAUACGGGCUGACACCUGCCCGGUGCUGGAAGGUUAAGGGGAUCUGUGCAAGCAGAGAACUGAAGCCCCAGUAAACGGCGGCCGUAACUAUAACGGUCCUAAGGUAGCGAAAUUCCUUGUCAGGUAAGUUCUGACCCGCACGAAUGGUGUAAUGAUUUGGGCACUGUCUCAACAGCCCGCCCGGCGAAAUUGUAGUACCGGUGAAGAUGCCGGUUACCCGCGACAAGACGGAAAGACCCCAUGGAGCUUUACUGUAGCCUAAUAUUGGGUUUCGAUAUUGUAUGUACAGGAUAGGUGGGAGGCUAGGAAACAGUGGCGUCAGCUGCUGCGGAGCCGACCUUGGGAUACCACCCUUGCGAUAUUGGAAUUCUAACCUGCGGCCCUGAAUCGGGUCGGGGGACAUUGUUAGGUGGGCAGUUUGACUGGGGCGGUCGCCUCCUAAAGCGUAGCGGAGGCGUUCAAAGGUUGGCUCAGCUUGGACGGAAACCAAGCAAGAGAGUGCAAACGCAAAAGCCAGCCUAACUGCGAGACCGACGGGUCGAGCAGUAACGAAAGUUGGAGUUAGUGAUCCGGUGGUAUGUGAGUGGAAAUGCCAUCGCUCAACGGAUAAAAGUUACCCUGGGGAUAACAGGCUGAUCUCCCCCAAGAGUCCACAUCGACGGGGAGGUUUGGCACCUCGAUGUCGGCUCAUCGCAUCCUGGGGCUGUAUUCGGUCCCAAGGGUUUGGCUGUUCGCCAAUUAAAGCGGUACGCGAGCUGGGUUCAGAACGUCGUGAGACAGUUCGGUCCCUAUCUGUCGUGGGCGCAGGAUAUUUGAUGGGAUCUGUCCCUAGUACGAGAGGACCGGGAUGGACGCACCUCUGGUGCACCAGUUGUCACGCCAGUGGCACAGCUGGGCAGCUAUGUGCGGAUCGGAUAAACGCUGAAAGCAUCUAAGCGUGAAGCCGGCCCAAAGAUAAGAUAUCCCACUGAGUCAAUCAGGUAAGACCCCUUGAAGACUACAAGGUUGAUAGGCACAAGGUGUAAGCGUGGUGACACGUUCAGCCAGCGUGUACUAAUAGGUCGAGGGCUUGACCACAA